CUUUACUUUUUGUUCCUCUUUCAAUAGAUUUUGAUUUACUUUUUAUUCCUUCUUUCAAUAGAUUUUGAUUUGUUGACUCUUUUCGUUUCUUCUCUCACUAUAUUUUGAUUUGGAUUUGAAUUUUUACUGUUCACUCAAUUUACUUCACUCGAUUUGUGUGUUUAUGGUGACCCUUUUGCUUAGAUUUUGAGAGUUGAAUGUGUUAUGAUGCUUAGAUUUUGAGUGUAUAACGAUUUUGUUUUGUCUUGAGAUGUAUAAUGAUUUUGUUCACUGAUAAUUUUGAGCUUUUGACUUUUGCUUCUCAUGUUCAAGGAUUUGACUUUUGCUUUUUUUUGUAAUGAUCUUUUGCUGGGUAUGAUUUUUCUACAAAAUUAAAGAAACACAUAUUAACUGAAAUUGUAGUCCAUAGAUAGUCACAUAAUACACAAUUCGCAUCGGUACGCGGUACGGGUUUGGGUUCGCGGUGAGCGACAUAAGAAGAAUUUGGUGUGUAUGGGGUAUAGAGUUUCGGUACACUCGUUAUUUUAGUAAAAAUAUAAAGUAUUUGUCAAAAGAUAGAAAUAUAGUGUAGACACCUGACUUGGAAUGAAUAGAUGACUAACUGACUUGACUUAUUGAUACUAAGCUAAAAGGAUACCUGACUUUGCUACCUUUAAUUCCUACUUUAUUAGAGGGAAACAGAUCCCUCAAAUUUUCCAAUGAUACAUAGAUGUUAUUUUGUAAUUAAAAUCUGUAGUUAUUGAGUUUGGUUAGCUAUUAAAAGUUGGAACAACAAUUGCAGAAGUUUGUAGUACUUGUUUACCUCCAUCAUAUUAACUCAAACUCAGCACAAGACGUGCUAAACGGGAAGUCAAUGUUAGAACAAAAAUAUCUACUUUUGUCUGCAAUCUAAUUUGGAUUUUGUGAAUAUGCUUUUAUUAAUUUGUGGCUUUUGUGACAAAUUGACAUGAGCAUGGUAUAUGAGCCUCGUAUGGGGAUGAUGAGAAUGGAACGUUGGGAGCGUGCAAGGAAGCUUGGUUCAAAACCCCAGCAGGAAAUCGAUAGCUGAAUAUCUCGUGCUUCCGAUUUUUUCUGUCGAUUCUGCACUGAGCAUUUGCGUUGACUAUCCUCAUCUCUCAUGAAUCAGGAAAUCAUUUGUUAGAGGUAGCUUUAACCACUAGACGUUGGAUCGCUUGUCAUGAGUACCUUUGCAGUUUGGAAAAUUGUCAAUAUUAUCGUAGUUUAGUUUCGGUUGUUGGUCGUUGAUCAGAGCCCACAACAGAGAUACUGCAGAGGCAAUUGUUUGUGGGAAAAUCAAGAAGCACAUGAAAAACCAAGGAAGUGUAUGUAUGCCACUCUCUUGCCUCCUUGUGCAACUUGUGUUUGUGUUGAAGAUCUGAAGGCAUUAUAUGUUUGGUUCUAUGUUUGAAUUGUUCAGCGACCACAAGAGUUUGAAGUACUUGUUCGAUCAGAAGGAGUUGAAUAUGAGGCAGAGGAGGUGAUUGGAAUUUCUUAAGGAUUAUGAUUUUUAGUUAAAGUUAUCAUCCUGGAAAGGCGAAUGUAGUAGCAGAUGCUUUGAGUAAGAAUUCUUUGCAUAUGUCUACUUUGAUGGUUAAAGAGUUGGAGUUGACUGAGCAGUUUCGGGAUUUGAGUUUGGUAAGUGAGUUGACGUUGGAUGGUGUGAAGUUGGGAAUGUUCUAGUUGACGAGUAAUAUUUUGGAAGAGAUUAAGAAUGGUGAGAAAGAGGAUUUGUAACUUGUAGAUCGUUUGGUGUUUGUUGAUCAAAGAAAACGUGAGGACAAAAGAUUGGAUGAAAAUGAUGUUUUGAUGUUUCAUGAUCGAGUUUGUGUACCGAAUGUACUUAAGCUUAAGAAGCGGAUUUUGGAAGAAGGUCACAUGAGUAGUCUGAGUUUCCAUCCAAAAGCGACGAAAAUGUACCAGGAUUUAAAGAGGUUGUUUUGGUGGCCUGGAAUGAAGAAGGAUAUAGCAGAGUUUGUGUAUGCUUGUUUGGUUUUUCAAAAGUCGAAGAUUGAACAUCAAAAGUCGUCGGGUUUGAUGCAACCGUUGUUUGUGC